rnacentral:rRNA from 1 species
AGUGAACGCUGGCGGUAGGCCUAACACAUGCAAGUCGAACGGCAGAACAGUAAGAGCUUCCGCUUACGGGGGGCGAGGGGCGGGCGAGUGAGGAAUACAUCGGAAGCUGCGGUGGAGAGCGUGAGAAAGCAGGGGAACAUACGGUAAUAGCGCAUACGGCGUACGGGGGAAAGCAGGGGAUCUUCGGACCUUACGCGAGUCAAUGAGGCGAUGUCGGAUUAGCUAGUUGGAGGGGUAAAGGCCCACCAAGGCGACGAUCCGUAGCUGGUCUGAGAGGAUGAUCAGCCACACUGGAACUGAGACACGGUCCAGACUCCUACGGGAGGCAGCAGUGGGGAAUAUUGGACAAUGGGCGAAAGCCUGAUCCAGCCAUACCGCGUGGGUGAAGAAGGUCUUCGGAUUGUAAAGCACUUUUGUUUGGGAAGAAGAGCAGUAAGUUAAUACCUUGCUGUUUUGACGUUACCAACAGAAUAAGCACCGGCUAACUUCGUG